GUUCAGUGUUUGGCAGGGCUACUGCUCAAAAACAGUUUUCUCAAUCAGUUCACUAAAAAAAAUGGAUGAUGAGUUUCUUAUGGGAGACUAAGCACCAUCUGACCACAGCAACAAAGGCAGGGAGGGGUUCCCUUGUGGCUCAGUGGGUUAAGGACCUGGCAUUGUCAGUGCUGUGGAUCAGGGGGUUUGAUCCCUGGCCAGGAACUUCUGCAAGUAGCGGGCACUGACAAACAAACAAACAAACAAAACCAAAAACAAAGGCAGGGAGACAGUUCUUCCAGACAAAGGCACUCACAGACCACUGGCAGUGGAAAUAAAUGCCCGGAUAAAAAAUCCAUGAUGCCCAGUUACAUUAGACCCUCAAGGAAGCAAUGGAUCAUCUUUGACUCAAGAAUCCUUAUAUGGUAGAGGCUCAACGGUGAAUAUUUUCCGCAGUUCAUCCUGAACGCGAGGUAAACCGAGGUCCAAAGAAUCCAUCAACAUAAUGCAACAUGUUCACCAAUAAAAGGAAACAAAGCAGGCACAGGAUCACCUUGUUAUCAAAUUGAUCCCCUGGACCCAUGCCCGGGGCCCGACCCAGGGCUGACUCCUUGUCUCAGCCAGGCAGGUUCUAUUUUUUUUUUUAAUUAAAAUAUAGUGGAUGGACAAUGUUGUGCCAACUUCUGCUGUACAGCAAAGUGAUCCAGUCAUAUAUAUAUAAAUUCUUUUUCUCGUAUUAUCUUCCAUUAGCUUUUAUCCCCAGAAACUGGAUCAAGUUCCCUGCAGGGAGAUCCUUUUCCCACUUGGAUUCGAGCCUAUAAGGAAACAGUGCUGAGACUGGAACAGCACAAAUUUCAUUCAACGGCCAGAGAAGGGAGAAGCAGGAACUUAAUUUGCCAAUCAGCCUCUCAACCCAAUUCAGCCUCCUCCCGAAACUUCCGUAGGAGCAACUGGUUUCUGUUGAAGAGAGGGGCAGGGGUGUCAUUCUGGGGCACCAGCCUUGGUAAAAACCUCCGUAUGCCUGGUAAAAGCGUUUGUCCUAAAAAACCCCCCAAAUGUGGUCACAGUGAAACAAAAACGCCUCAGCCUCAAAGCCAGCCUAAACCCAGAUUGGGAGCUGAACCCACAGAUUUUGUUGUUUUGGCUUUCUAGGGCGGCACCUACGACACAGGGAGCUCCCCAGGCUAGAGGUCAAAUUGGCACUGCAGCUGCCAGCCUACACCACAGCCACAGCAACACAGGAUCCGAGCCACGACUGCGACCUACACCACAGCUCACGGUAACGCUGGAUCCUUAAGCCCUGAGCGAGGCCAGGGAUCGAACCCACCACCUCAUGGUUCCUAAUCGGACUUGUUUUCACUGUGCCACAAUGGGAACUCCCUGGACCCACAGUUUUGUUUUGUUUUGUUUUUUUUUU
rnacentral:lncRNA from 1 species